rnacentral:tRNA from 1 species
GGGACUAUAGCUCAAUGGUAAGAGUGCAUGCUUUGAAUUCAUGAGAGAGGCCCUAGGUCCA